GGCCAAUGAGCCUAGCUCAGCAAGUGCAGCAAGAGGCUCUUAAUCUCAGGGUCGUGGGUUUGAACCCCACAUUGGGCA